CACCUAACAGCUAGCCCCCACCCUAAAACCAUAACACCCCUAUUAAAUAACCCCUAAAAAACCACACACCCGCGCAACAAACCAUUUUUCCCCCUUAGUAUGGGCGACAGAAAAGGACAACAGAGCUAUAGAAAAAGUACCGCAAGGGAACGCUGAAAGAGAAAUGAAACAAACCAGUAAAGUAUAAAAAAGCAGAGAUUUGAACUCGUACCUUUUGCAUCAUGAUUUAGCCAGUAAACUCGAGCAAAGAGCACUUAAGUUUGACACCCCGAAACUAAGUGAGCUACUCCAAGACAGCCUAACUAAAGGGCCAACCCAUCUCUGUGGCAAAAGAGUGGGAAGAACUUCGAGUAGAGGUGACAGACCUACCGAACUUAGUUAUAGCUGGUUACCUGUGAAUUGAAUAGGAGUUCAGCUUCUCGGCUUCUUAGUUCCCCCUGGUUACACCACAUCCGAUUAUAAGAAACCAAGAAAGUUAGUUAAGGGGGGUACAGCCCCCUUAAAAAAGGACACAACCUCACUAGAUGGGUACCGAUCAUAAUAAAACCAAGGCAACAUAUCCUAGUGGGCCUAAAAGCAGCCACCUUAACAGAAAGCGUUAAAGCUCAAGUAUUAACCACAAGCCUAUUAUUUCGAUAAAACAAUCCCAACCCUCUAACCCCUACCAGGUCAUCCCAUGCAAACAUGGAAGAGACCAUGCUAAUAUGAGUAAUAAGAGAACACGCCUUCUCUCCAAGCACACAUGUAAAUCGGAACGGACCCCCCACCGAACAUUACCGGCCCCAAACAAAGAGGGAACUGAAAAACAAAAUAAAAUACAAGAAAACCCCCCAUUCAACCAACCGUUAAACCCACACUGGUGUGCAAACUAGGAAAGACUAAAAGAAAAAGAAGGAGCUCGGCAAACACAUAAUAGCCUCGCCUGUUUACCAAAAACAUCGCCUCUUGUAAAACAAAAAUAAGAGGUCUUGCCUGCCCUGUGACAUAAACUGUUUAACGGCCGCGGUAUUCUGACCGUGCAAAGGUAGCGCAAUCACUUGUCUUUUAAAUGAAGACCUGUAUGAAUGGCAUAACGAGGGCUAAGCUGUCUCCUUUUUCCAGUCAAUGAAAUUGAUCUCCCCGUGCAGAAGCGGGGAUGACCACAUAAGACGAGAAGACCCUAUGGAGCUUUAGACACUAAAACAGAUUUUAUAACCCCUCCCCUGACACGGGGACAAGUAAAUAAAAAACCUGUCCUUAUGUCUUUGGUUGGGGCGACCGCGGGGAAACAAAAAACCCCCACGUGGAAUGAGAAUAUCUUCCCUAAACUAAGAGCCACAGCUCUAAUUAACAGAACUUCUGACCAUACGAUCCGGCAUACGCCGAUCAACGAACCGAGUUACCCUAGGGAUAACAGCGCAAUCCUCUUUUAGAGCCCAUAUCGACAAGAGGGUUUACGACCUCGAUGUUGGAUCAGGACAUCCUAAUGGUGCAGCCGCUAUUAAGGGUUCGUUUGUUCAACGAUUAAAGUCCU
rnacentral:rRNA from 1 species